UUCUUCCUAUUACAGAGAGGGACACACCCUUAUAAAUAGAGAUUUCCUUUACAACUGUAAAUUUCCCUUUCAAAAUGCAAGCAAAUUCCA